CAAUAUGUAACGGGUCAAAACGAACAAUAUCUGCUAGCAGUGGACUUGGAUUAUUUCAUGACCACAUUGAUAGAUAACUAUUCAAGGCAAUGGUCCAUGAAUUGCUAAGUUUUCAAGAGAACAAA